GACGUUUUAAUUCUGCAACAGCGGGACACAACACCGGAAAUGACUUGGAUACGACACUCCUGGCAGUGGUAAUAGGUGUUUUGGCACUUUUCAUCAUAAUGGCAGUGAUUUGUUCCCUCAUCUUCAGAAAGCGGAAACGGAACUUGAAAACUAAG